CUUCCUCAUGCAACCGUCUAAUGAAGGAAGUGCGAGCGAGACAGUUAGGGCAGCUCGGUGUCCCUAUCGAUGUCUCGUUCGCUCUAACAUUUAUGUGUCGUGCUUUUCUUUCUUUCUUUUAAGAAACAUAGCUGAGCCCAUAGAACUUAUAUACAUGGAAAGAGAAUAAGAGCAAACAAUUGUACUCAAGAAGUGAGACAAAUAUAUAUAGUGCUGUCUUAUUCUGUUACUCUUUCUGUAAGAACGCAUAGUAAGCCAUAGUAAAAUUGUGUUAAUAUCUGUUUAUAUCAAUCUUUGUCAGGCUUUGUGAGAUCACGUAAUGUACAACACGUGUACGAACAUCAAAAUUUGUAAAAAUUUUAAUGAUUUUUGCAUUGUGCGUGUAGUUUAAAAAAGUUGAAGAAAAUGGUUGUGUACUGUGUGCUAUGUGGCAAUCGCAGCAAAACUGCAUUUUAUCAUCGGUUUCCAAAAAACAGAGUAUUAAAGAUCAAUGGUUGUCUUUUUGUGGAAUCAAAGAAGAGAUUCUUAAUACAGCAACGUUCCUUUGCUCGCAUCAUUUCAAGGAGGAAUAUUUAAAACAAAAAUUAAAUUGCACUAUUGUAAUUCCAGGAGCAACGCCAUCAAUCAUAUUCCAAAAAAAUCAAAGAAAAGAUCAAAUGUAGCCAACAAAUCUACAUACGAGCUGCCAAUGAAAAAAAUUAAUGUGAAUGGAAUCGAGCCAGCUACUGAAAUCGAGAUUUCUGUUGAUAAGAAGUUACUGGAUGUACAUUGAUUGAAGAUCCAAUUGAUGUCGAUACUCAUUGCAAUGAGUCUUCGGUGCAGUACACUGCUGACAGCAACAAAGGAUCUGCAAAUGAAUUCGUGCAAGCAGGCACGUGUCGAACACCUCCAAGAACGAUUUUCGAACCUCGCUACGUUGGUGAUAUCCGAAGUCCACACUUAGCUACACCUCGAAGAGCAAAACGAACUGUAGCUUUAGCGAGAGGAGUUAUUGAUAAACAAAAAAAAACAAUUAGGACGUUGCAACAUUCAAGAAACCGAUUUCAUGCACGUAUUAAAAAUAUGAAAAAUUUAGUUAAUGAAUUGAAAGAAAAGAAUUUAAUUUCUGAAAGUGCAUUUGACAGUUUAACGGUAAGCUUGCACAAUAUACUUAUUAAUUACACUACAAGUUAAUUAUCUAAGUAGAAAGUUUCUCUCAUUUUCCAAAAUUACAUAAAGGGCCGAUACUAAUAAAGAAAAUGCUAUAUAGAAAAAUUUA